CAGGUAUUUCACAUCCAAUUUUUUAUGGUAAUAUUCUUUAUAAAGCACAAAGGUGUCAGUAUUCACCUCAGAAACUUACAAAACCUUUGAAUAGACUUAUUAAGAAGGGAUAUAAUUACGAUACUGUUGUCAAGUCAUUAAAGAUUGCAUAUUUUGGCGUUAAUAUUGAGUCACUGAUAAGGUCUUUGCAUCGGAACUAAACACAUUAUUUUUUUAAAAACAGUUGUUGGCAUGACACGGGUUAUGUUCUUCUCAUAUAUGUUAUGAUGGUAUGAUACUAAACCCCUAACGGGAAGGAUUGUGCCUGAUGUUCAUAUGAUGAAAUCAUAAUCUUUCAGUCAGUUUAAUUGAAGUCUGGAGCUGGCAUGUCAGUUAACUGCUAGUAGUCUGUUGUUAUUUAUGUAUUUUUGUCAUUUUGUUUAUUUUCUUUGGUAACAUCUUCUGACAUCAGACUCGGAUUUCUCUUGAACUGAAUUUUAAUGUGCGUAUUGUUAUGCGUUUACUUUACUACAUUGGUUAGAGGUAUAGGGGGAGGGUUGAGAUCUCACAAACAUGUUUAACCCCGCCGCAUUUUUGCGCCUGUCCCAAGUCAGGAGCCUCUGGCCUUUGUAAGUCUUGUAUUAUUUUAAUUUUAGUUUCUUGUGUACAAUUUGGAAAUUAGUAUGGCGUUCAUUAUCACUGGACUAGUAUAUAUUUGUUUAGGGGCCAGCUGAAGGACGCCUCCGGGUGCGGGAAUUUCUCGCUACAUUGAAG
rnacentral:lncRNA from 1 species